rnacentral:rRNA from 1 species
CCCGUUCAGAGGGGGACAACAGUUGGAAACGACUGCUAAUACCGCAUACGAUCCAAUCUCGGCAUCGAGGAUGGAUGAAAGGUGGCCUCUAUUUAUAAGCUAUCACUGAAGGAGGGGAUUGCGUCUGAUUAGCUAGUUGGAGGGGUAACGGCCCACCAAGGCGAUGAUCAGUAGCCGGUCUGAGAGGAUGAACGGCCACAUUGGGACUGAGACACGGCCCAG